rnacentral:rRNA from 1 species
CCUACGGGGAGCAGCAGUGGGGAAUAUUGGACAAUGGGCGAAAGCCUGAUCCAGCCAUGCCGCGUGUGUGAAGAAGGCCUUCGGGUUGUAAAGCACUUUCAGUGGGGAAGAAAGCCUUGGGGCUAAUACCCUCGAGGAAGGACAUCACCCACAGAAGAAGCACCGGCUAACUCCGUGCCAGCAGCCGCGGUAAUACGGAGGGUGCGAGCGUUAAUCGGAAUUACUGGGCGUAAAGCGCGCGUAGGCGGUCUGAUAAGCCGGUUGUGAAAGCCCCGGGCUCAACCUGGGAACGGCAUCCGGAACUGUCAGGCUAGAGUGCAGGAGAGGAAGGUAGAAUUCCCGGUGUAGCGGUGACAUGCGUAGAGAUCGGGAGGAAUACCAGUGGCGAAGGCGGCCUUCUGGACUGACACUGACGCUGAGGUGCGAAAGCGUGGGUAGCAAACAGGAUUAGAUACCCGAGUAGUC